GGGCCUGUAGCUCAGCUAGGUAGAGCAUCUGACUUUUAAUCAGGUGGUCAAGGGUUCGAAUCCCUUCAGGCCCGCCA
rnacentral:tRNA from 4 species